CUAUGCGCCUUGCCAGCCCGCUCAGGUGUGCCAGCAGCCGCGGUAAUACGGAGGAUGCGAGCGUUAUCCGGAUUUAUGGGUUUAAAGGGUGCGUAGGCGGAUUUUUAAGUCAGCGGUAAAAUGUCCGGGCUCAACCCGGGCCGGCCGUUGAAACUGGGGAUCUUGAGUGGGCGAGAAGUAUGCGGAAUGCGUGGUGUAGCGGUGAAAUGCAUAGAUAUCACGCAGAACUCCGAUUGCGAAGGCAGCAUACCGGCGCCCGACUGACGCUGAGGCACGAAAGCGUGGGGAUCGAACAGG
rnacentral:rRNA from 1 species